GAGGGGCUCUCGAAUCGCCUAACUGAGUGACAUGCAGCGAGUCCCACCGAACUUUGAAUGAUCCGCCGAAAGGAAGCGGGAGCUGGCCGGCCAUAAAUCCCUCCGGAGUUGAGAGGAACUUUGGGACGAUACAGGGGUGAAAUUGUGGGAUUCUGCGACAAAAGGCAAUACUGAGUCCCACCGUCUGCUCUCUUCAGGGAGAGUUAUUUUUGAGACUCUGAAAGCACAGAAAGAAAAGGCAGAGGAAGGAGAGGAGGAGGAGUCGCAAGCUCCUAUAGCCCUUUCCUUACCAGCCUCUAAAUCACAGUGCUCUAAACCCCUGGGUGUUAAUGCAGUGGAGUAUCCGCCAGAAGAAGACCCCUUUGACCCGGGACCGGUAGACCCUGAACAAGAACCUGAUUUAUACCCUCCUGAUCUGCGUGAUGUGUGGGCAAAAAUAAAGAAACAAGCCUUAAAGGAGGGGGAUUUGGACAUGGCUAAAACUAUAGUUGCUCCGGUCUUGUAUUCUCAGGGUCGGGCAGGGGGAGCACGAUGGGAGGCUCUUUCUUUUUCGGUUGUUAAAGAACUGUGCCGCACGGUUACGGAACAUGGUAUUUCUUCUCCCUAUUUUAUAAGUCUGUUAUCUUCUGUGUUUGAUACUUAUGUCAUGACUCCUCAUGAUUUGAAAUCUUUAGCACGAUUGCUACUAACCCCGACUCAGUACACGUUAUGGGAGUCGCACU